UUGAGGAGUUGCUGGAAUGAUCUAAUGGAACACAAUUUAUGAAUAUACUUUAGAAGAUACUAAGAACCCGAGCAGGAGCUAGCAACCAGUGUAAUGACAGAGAAUUGUCUACAGCAGGUGGAAGACAUAUAUUUAGUGGCAGGACAAAGAUUCUGUUUUCAAACAAAUGUGGUCAUUAGCUGCUGUGCACCAGAGAAACAUAUGGCAUGUUUAAUUUCAGCAGAAUCAUUCCUGAAGAAAGUGGCUACAUCCCUGUGAGAAGUCAAGCCACUUUCAGUUCAACGAGGAAAGCUAAUGAGGAGCCCCACAUGAUCAGUUGAAGGGUUACAGACUGGGCAGAGCUCUCACCAAAUCACAUGGAACCAAGGGUGCACCUCGGUUUAUGUCACAUCAGCGAAGAACUUCCGAGAGUCAUGAUUCUCCUUGCAGAGUAUCUUCAACCCAUUUGUAUUACUCCUGAAAUAGCCCAAGUUCCACUCAGUGUUUUCCUUCUCCAGGAUUGGGGAGCUUGGUGAAGACCCAUAGUUACAGAAACAAAAACCACCUACCCUGAAAAGAUCACUAUUUUACAUUAUACUUUGUAGAACUGA